rnacentral:rRNA from 1 species
CUGUGUGUUGUUGGGUAGGGGAGCGUUCUGUAAGCCUGUGAAGGUGGCCUGUGAGGGUUGCUGGAGGUAUCAGAAGUGCGAAUGCUGACAUAAGUAACGAUAAAGCGGGUGAAAAGCCCGCUCGCCGGAAGACCAAGGGUUCCUGUCCAACGUUAAUCGGGGCAGGGUGAGUCGACCCCUAAGGCGAGGCCGAAAGGCGUAGUCGAUGGGAAACGGGUUAAUAUUCCCGUACUUGGUGUUACUGCGAAGGGGGGACGGAGAAGGCUAUGUUGGCCGGGCGACGGUUGUCCCGGUUUAAGCGUGUAGGUGUGUGUUCCAGGUAAAUCCGGUUCACUUUAACACUGAGGCGUGACGACGAGGCACUACGGUGCUGAAGCAACAAAUGCCCUGCUUCCAGGAAAAGCCUCUAAGCAUCAGGUAACAUCAAAUCGUACCCCAAACCGACACAGGUGGUCAGGUAGAGAAUACCAAGGCGCUUGAGAGAACUCGGGUGAAGGAACUAGGCAAAAUGGUGCCGUAACUUCGGGAGAAGGCACGCUGACACGUAGGUGAAGUGAUUUACUCACGGAGCUGAAGUCAGUCGAAGAUACCAGCUGGCUGCAACUGUUUAUUAAAAACACAGCACUGUGCAAACACGAAAGUGGACGUAUACGGUGUGACGCCUGCCCGGUGCCGGAAGGUUAAUUGAUGGGGUCAGCGCAAGCGAAGCUCCUGAUCGAAGCCCCGGUAAACGGCGGCCGUAACUAUAACGGUCCUAAGGUAGCGAAAUUCCUUGUCGGGUAAGUUCCGACCUGCACGAAUGGCGUAAUGAUGGCCAGGCUGUCUCCACCCGAGACUCAGUGAAAUUGAACUCGCUGUGAAGAUGCAGUGUACCCGCGGCAAGACGGAAAGACCCCGUGAACCUUUACUAUAGCUUGACACUGAACAUUGAGCCUUGAUGUGUAGGAUAGGUGGGAGGCUUUGAAGCGUGGACGCCAGUCUGCGUGGAGCCGACCUUGAAAUACCACCCUUUAAUGUUUGAUGUUCUAACGUGGACCCGUGAUCCGGGUUGCGGACAGUGUCUGGUGGGUAGUUUGACUGGGGCGGUCUCCUCCUAAAGAGUAACGGAGGAGCACGAAGGUUGGCUAAUCCUGGUCGGACAUCAGGAGGUUAGUGCAAUGGCAUAAGCCAGCUUGACUGCGAGCGUGACGGCGCGAGCAGGUGCGAAAGCAGGUCAUAGUGAUCCGGUGGUUCUGAAUGGAAGGGCCAUCGCUCAACGGAUAAAAGGUACUCCGGGGAUAACAGGCUGAUACCGCCCAAGAGUUCAUAUCGACGGCGGUGUUUGGCACCUCGAUGUCGGCUCAUCACAUCCUGGGGCUGAAGUAGGUCCCAAGGGUAUGGCUGUUCGCCAUUUAAAGUGGUACGCGAGCUGGGUUUAGAACGUCGUGAGACAGUUCGGUCCCUAUCUGCCGUGGGCGCUGGAGAACUGAGGGGGGCUGCUCCUAGUACGAGAGGACCGGAGUGGACGCAUCACUGGUGUUCGGGUUGUCAUGCCAAUGGCACUGCCCGGUAGCUAAAUGCGGAAGAGAUAAGUGCUGAAAGCAUCUAAGCACGAAACUUGCCCCGAG